AUUGAACGCUGGCGGCAUGCCUAACACAUGCAAGUCGAACGCGAAAGAGGGGCAACCCUUGAGUAGAGUGGCGGACGGGUGAGUAAUACGUAGGAAUCUGCCCUAGAGUGGGGGAUAACCUGUCGAAAGACGGGCUAAUACCGCAUAUACUCUGAGGAGCAACGGUGGCUAGCAAUAGCUUUCGCUUUAGGAGGAGCCUACGUCGGGUUAGCUAGUUGGUAGGGUAAUGGCCUACCAAGGCAAUAAUCCGUAGCUGGUCUGAGAGGACGAUCAGCCACACUGGAACUGAGGCACGGUCCAGACUCCUACGGGAGGCAGCAGUGGGGAAUAUUGGACAAUGGGGGAAACCCUGAUCCAGCAAUGCCGCGUGUGCGAUGAAGGCCUGUGGGUUGUAAAGCACUUUAAGUCGGGAGGAAGGGCUGUAGGUUAAUACCCUGCGGUUUUGACGUUACCGACAGAAUAAGCACCGGCUAACUUCGUGCCAGCCGCCGCGGUAA
rnacentral:rRNA from 1 species